rnacentral:rRNA from 1 species
CCUACGGGAGGCAGCAGUAGGGAAUCUUCCACAAUGGGCGAAAGCCUGAUGGAGCAACGCCGCGUGGGUGAAGAAGGUCUUCGGAUCGUAAAACCCUGUUGUUAGAGAAGAAAGUGCGUGCGAGUAACUGUUCACGCUUCGUCGGUAUCUAACAAGAAAGCCACGGCUAACUACGUGCCAGCAGAUGAGGUAAUACGUAGGUGGCAAGCGUUAUCCGGAUUUGUUGGGCGUAAUGGGAACGGAGGCGGUCUUUUAAGUCUGAUGUGAAAGCCUUCGGCUUAACCGGGGUAGUGCAUUGGAAACUGGGAGACUUGAGUGCAGAAGAGGAAAGUGGAACUCCAUGUGUAGCGGUGAAAUGCGUAGAUAUAUGGAAGAACACCAGUGGCGAAGGCGGCUCUCGGGUCUGUAACUGACGCUGAGGUUCGAAAGCGUGGGUAGCAAACAGGAUUAGAUACCCGGGUAGUC